rnacentral:lncRNA from 1 species
CCCCCAACUUAAUUUCAUUGUCCCUAAUGGAAGAAAAAGAAAAAAAUGCAAAAGAAGGGAUAUCACCUGAUUUGCUGUUGUUUGCAAGUUCUUUUAUAUUUUUCAAGAGUCCUCGUCAGAUGUUGAUGAUUUUCUCCCCACAACUUAGCUAGUUGUCUUUAUUAUAUUUCUACAAAAUAAAAAAAUAGAUAAUUAAAAAAUAAAAUAUUAGGUUGCCUCCCAACAAGCACUAAGUUUAAGAUCUUCAGUCAGAUCAAGCCAAAGUUUCAUUGUAGACUGGAUCCUGUAAUUUAAUUGAGUCAACUUACUCGUCAUCUCUGAUUUUAUUCACAUAAUGUUUCAAUCGUUGGCCAUUUACUUUGAAGGUG